UUGUUUGAGCACCGCAAACAUUCAUGCACACGCAUGACUUUUGCAUUAUUAUGAUUCUUUAGUCUGGUCAGGUCGGGAGAAGGCAUCUUCUGUGCAUUCGUCGACAUUUUCGGAACGGGUUCCCGCAGCAGUUUUUUUUUUUCCCGCAGCAGUACGAAUUAGAAACUCUCCUCGAGAUCGAUCAACGGCCGUUGCGGAACAUUCGGCCUCACCUGACAGGACCACAAUCCUCUGCCUCGGUACAUUUGCGUCGGGGGCUGCGCUGCGAUGGUGCCCAAAAGCAAAACAUCGGAAAACCAUCCCCACGGUCAACAUUUCCGGCAGGCUCACUAGAGAGCGCGAGGAUGAUUAGCAAAUAACGUCAUGAUACUGGUUAUCCUGGCCGUGCAUUCGGUGCACGGAACUCCGUACGGUUGUCGCACUUCGGCGUUGAAUCUGCAAGUUCCUAUACACUUGGCAAACCUCGAUUCAUUGCAUUAUGCCUUACUUCCGUGACUUAUUCCGGGUGCUUCGUGCCAAUGCAACAAUAAUCAACAUUUCGAAAAUAUA